rnacentral:rRNA from 1 species
GACGAACGCUGGCGGCGUGCUUAACACAUGCAAGUCGAACGGAAAGGCCCUGCUUUUGUGGGGUGCUCGAGUGGCGAACGGGUGAGUAACACGUGAGUAACCUGCCCUUGACUUUGGGAUAACUUCAGGAAACUGGGGCUAAUACCGGAUAGGAGCUCCUGCUGCAUGGUGGGGGUUGGAAAGUUUCGGCGGUUGGGGAUGGACUCGCGGCUUAUCAGCUUGUUGGUGGGGUAGUGGCUUACCAAGGCUUUGACGGGUAGCCGGCCUGAGAGGGUGACCGGCCACAUUGGGACUGAGAUACGGCCCAGACUCCUACGGGAGGCAGCAGUGGGGAAUAUUGCACAAUGGGCGGAAGCCGGAUGCGGCAACGCCGCGUGCGGGAUGACGGCCUUCGGGUUGUAAACCGCUUUCGCCUGUGACGAAGCGUGAGUGACGGUAAUGGGUAAAGAAGCUCCGGCUAACUACGUG